rnacentral:rRNA from 1 species
UACGUAGGAUGCAAGCGUUGUCCGGAUUUACUGGGCGUAAAGCGCGCGCAGGCGGCAGUACAAGUACCCUCUGAAAUCUCCUUGCUCAACGAGGAGGGUGGAGGGUAGACUGUGCAGCUAGAGGAGGGUAGAGGGGGGGUAGAAUUGCUGGUGUAGCGGUGAAAUGCGUAGAGAUCAGCAGGGAAUCACCCCGUGGCGAAAGGCGGGCCCCCCUGGGCCCCUAAAAAACCCCUUUUUCAUGGGGAAACCCAUGAGGA